rnacentral:rRNA from 1 species
GACGAACGCUGGCGGCGUGCUUAACACAUGCAAGUCGAACGAAGUGGCGAACGGGUGAGUAACGCGUAAUCAACCUGCCCUUCAGAGGGGGACAACAGUUGGUAACGACUGCUUAUACCGCAUACUGAAGGAGGGGAUUUCGUUGGAUUAGCUAGUUGGUGGGGUAACGGCCCACAAAGGCGAUGAUCAGUAGCCGGGCUGGGAGUCUGAACGGCGUGAUUGGGACUGAGGUACUGCCCAGACGCCUACGGGAGGCAGCAGUGGGGAAACUUCCGCAAUGGGCGAAAGUCUGACGGAGCAACGCCGCGUGAGUGAUGACGGCCUUCGGGUUGUAAAGCUCUGUUAAUCGGGACGCGGUACCGGAAGAGAAAGCCACGGCUAACUACGUGCCAGCCGCCGCGGUAAUAC